CAUAAAUCCUUCUAUUUAGGGAAAAUAUAAAUUUUUAUGUUCAGCACUUUACCUCUUUUCGUAUUUACCAUUACUGAAGAGAUAUUUUCAAAAAUAUAUUAUUCAGUGGAAAAAUACUCUUAUAUCUUUGUUAUCUAUAUACUUUUUUCGUUCCUAAAAGAUGUAUGUUCUGAAAAAAAAAUUGUUUCAAAAAGAUACAUUUUUUACAUUUUCAAUGUAUAAUUUUAUGAAAAAUUAUAAGUUUCAAAAAAAUUAAUGGUGUUUAUUGAAUUUCUAUUGGCUAAAAGUUAUGAAAAAUUGUUAUUCACAAAAAACAAUGCAUAUUUAAUGAGUUUUCUUAAUAUAUGUGAAAAGUUUAGAAUAUUCAUCUUUUAAAAACAGAAGGAGUAUAUAAUAAAUGAUUAUUUAAAUAAAAAAAAAAAUUUAUAUUUUCUAAUUAUACUUUAUCAAAUUCUAUCAGAAACAAGUGGGAAGAGGAAAGAAAGUUUGAGAAAACCAACCAAAACAUUCUUGAAAAGAGUCGAUGCACCAGAAAGAGCCAAAGAGAAAAUAUUUAUUUAUAUAUUUAUUAGAAUUCUAAAUUUCACAAUUCAAAAACCAUAUCCUAUACCUCUAAACUCUAAACCCUAAGUCUAGAUUAGUUAACUCUAGGAGUAUAAGUAUAUUUUACCUUUUAUUAAAAUUGAGGAUAAAAGUGAUUAGUGUAAACAUGAAAAUAGGGUAUUUGUGGCAAUUUUCCUAUUUAUUACUAUUUAAUUUAGUGAAAUUCAGUAAAUUGUCUCCUUUUGAUUCAUCAAUAAUUUUAAAUCAUCCUUUAUAUAAUAAAUCGCAAGUCGCCUAGCGAAUCAGAAAUUGCUAUGUGAAAAAAAAUUAAAAAAUAUUUAAAAAACAAAUGACAUGUGGAAAAAGUUUUAAAGCCAAUAAUAAUAAAGAAUGAAGUUUUUACAUGCAGAUCAUAUUCUUAUGUAGUCUAAAUAUAAACUGUCCACUCCCUUUCUUUUCUCAAAACAAUUUAAGCUACGUCGAAUUUUUCUUUGCGAUGUCUUUUAAUAAUAACUUACCUUUUAUAACAGUUUUGAAUAUCUUAUAUAAAUUAAUGUAACAAUAAAUUAAUUUAACAAUAACUAUCCACGUUGAUAACUCCACAAAAUAUCCUCUUAACUAGUCUCAACUUCCCAUCAUCACACGAUCAAAACAUAAAUUAGUUUACAUAUAAUUCUCUCUUUUCCCCAUCGAUUUCAUCUUCCUCUUUCUAUUUCUUUACGUAUAAUUCUCUCUCUUCGCAGGUUUAUGAUCCAUCCUUCAAUUUUCUUAUAAUAACUCUUCUUUUUUUUCUAAUACAUCAUCUGAUCUAUUUUUCUGACAAAGUCAAAGUGUAAGAACGCUGAGAAGGUAAAAUAAUCUUAUGUGAGUAUUUAAUCUAACUUGAGUUUGUUAAUUCUAAUCAUGUCUUUAAUACUUUUACAUAAAAGAAUUAAAAACAUGAGAGAUUACAUAAGAGAUUUGCCUCAUGCGAAGCACGGGGAGACACACUAGUUUAUCAUUUAUAUAAUAAAUCGCAAGUUGCCUAGCGAAUCAGAAAUUGUCAUGUGAAAAUAAAUUAAAAAAUAUUUAAAAAACAAAUGACAUGUGGAAAAGGUUUUAAAGCCAAUAUAAUAAAGAAUAAAAUUUUCUCUGCAGUCUAAAUAUAAAAUGUUCACUCCCUUUCUUUUCUCAAAAAAAUUUAAGCUAGUCGGAUUUUUCUUUGCGAUGUCUUUUAAUAAUAACUUACCAAACAGUUUUGAAUAUCUUAUAUAAAUUAAUGUAACAAUAAAUUAAUUUAACAAUAACUAUCCACGUUGAUAACUCCACAAAAUAUCGUCCUAAUUAGUCUCAACUUCCCAUCAUCACACAAUCAAAACAUAAAAUUAGUUUACGUAUAAUUCUCUCUCUUUGCAGGUUUAUGAUCCAUCCUUCAAUUUUCUUAUAAUAAUUCUUCUUUUUUGCUCUAAUACAUCAUAUGAUCUCUCUUUCUGACAAAGUCAAAGCCUAAGGAUGCUGAGAAGGUAAAAUGAUCUUAUGUGAGUAUUUAAUCUAACUUGAAUUUGUUAAUUCUAAUCAUGUCUUUAAUACUUUUACAUAAAAGAAUUAAAAACAUAAGAGAUUUGCCUCGUGCGAAGCACGGGGAGACACACUAGUUUAUAUACUAAAGCGCAAGUCGUCUGGCGAAUCAGAAGUUGACAUGUGACAAAGUUUUGUAAAAAGAAUAAUAAUGUAAAAAAAGUGAUUGAGUAUGGUUUAUUUUUUGAAACAGAAAUCUAAAUCCCUGAAUUUUCUCCUAUCAUCAAUCAAAAAUGAUCGUGUCAUCUAUAACUUCCAAUUAUGCCACGAUUUCAAUAGGUUUGAACUUUUUAAUAAAUUGGAAGCAAUAAAAUCCAUCUUUGAUCAACUUCUUUCGCUCUGGUUCUAUAUCUUCCUCAUGAAAGUAUGCUUCAACGAGAAAGGCUUUGUUCUGAUCCGUGAAACUCCUCUUACUUGGUCUUUUCUUCAAGCUGUGUACGAGUCAGCUAAACACUGGUCCGUUACUCCACUCCAGUAUUAAAUCAUGCCAGAAAUAUGUUGAAAGCAGCGUACAUGCUACUGCUUUUAUCUGGGAAUGGUGUUAGCUUAAUAUGGAAAGCGAUCAUGAUUAGGAGCAACCUUAGACCCUAUAUUUUCUACACAUGGCUGAAGAAUCAUCAAACCGUAACUUUCCCCCAGUAUUUUGAAGGCCAUGGAAAGUAAUGUUUCUUUUACUCAUUGUAACUUAAUCAUAUGCUCUUUACAUGUUCGUCACAUCUCACAACUUAAGAAAUCGUUGCUACAGUUCUUCACUUUCUUCCUUGUGGUAAAGUAUAUAAAUUACUAUUCUUUCAUAUAUCUCUUUGUAGUUAAAGUAGCAAGAGAAUUAUGUGUCUGAUCUAGGAUACAUGAGGUAGCUCCAAAGAAGAUUAACUGCCCAAAACACAUGAUAUCUACUAACCAGCCUCUAAUUACCAAAGUAGUAUAUUUUUGUAAUGCAUAUAUACAUAUGAAUUUUAUCUAUGUAGGUUUAGUCACUAUAUAUAUAGGAGGUGCGACUAGCCAUCAUUUGAAUUUAUUCCCACACUCAUUGCAGUUUGAUCACUGUCAGAAAUGGGACGGUUACACGAUCUGAUUGGUAGUAGAGGCACCAUCGACAUGGGGAUAAACUUACAGCCAUAGUCGGAGAAGUCUUAUGCACCCAUAGGAGAUGAAGACAUCGAGCUCCUUUGCUCAUUCAGAGGUUCAAAUAAAUAAAAAACGAAACUUCAUGCAUGAGAUUGAGGACAUUCAGCUCUGGAUCUCAUCAAAAAAUACUUGGCAUCAGAUUCGGGAAGUGACAGUACAAUGCUCGUGGAGUCAGAGUAUGUGGUUUUCACAUUCAACGCCAAGGUAUGCCUUUCUUAUGUGGUUAACGAACCUCACUUACAUACUUUACUCCAUAAAUUAAGCACCAAUUCCAUAUAGCGCGGGGUCCUGCUGCCUCUAGUUAUAUAAUAUUUUUUUUAAAAAAAAUUACCAAUAGAAAUUUUAAUUUAAAUAAAAUACAUUAAGAUAAAUAAUUUGGUUUUUUUUUUACUAAAAAAAAUUGAGUAUUUUAAUCAAAAAUACUCAAUUUAAUUUUAAUCUAUGUCAACAAUAGAUACAUAUAUAUUUAAAAAAAUUGAGUAUCUAUAUCUAAGGGUGUAACUGGAUUGGUAUUUUUUGGAAUAAAACUGUUUGGAAUAGCUUAUUCCAAGAGAUUCCAAAGAAAAUACACCAUUUAAGUGGAAUUAAAAACAAUUGUCAUUCCAUUAAUUCCUGUGAGAUAGGUGGAACCAAAUGGAAUGUAGUUAUAAUCCUUUCAUGAUAAAAAAAGAACGUGAAUGACUGGAAA